rnacentral:rRNA from 1 species
CAAUAGCGUAUAUUAAAGCUGUUGCGGUUAAAAAGCUCGUAGUUGGAUUUCUGUCAAGGACAACUGGUCCGCCCUCCGGAUGAGCACAUAGUUUGGUCUUGGCAUCUUGCUGGAAACUGUUGCUGCGCUUGGUUGUGUGGUGCAGCUUUCAGCACUUUCACUUUGAGGAAAUUGGAGUGUUUCAAGCAGGCACAUGCCUUUGGACACAGUAGCAUGGAAUGAUUAGAUUGGGCUUUUGCUCCAACUUGUUGGUUCCUGGAGCUGAGGUGAGAAUCAAUGGGGAUUGUUGGGGGCAUCCGAAUUUAGCCGUCAGAGGUGAAAUUCUUGGAUCUGCUAAAGACGGACAACUGCGAAAGCGUUUGCCCAGGAUGUUUUCAUUGA